UCCUACGCCCACACUGGACUGAAUGCACCUGAUCCCAUCCAAUCUCGAAAACUAAGCAGUCCCAGGCCCGGGUAGUACUUGGAUGGGAUCAUAGGAGACAAUUUUACAAAGUAAGCC
rnacentral:rRNA from 1 species